GACGAACGCUGGCGGCGUGCCUAACACAUGCAAGUCGAACGAUGCAGCCGGGAAACGCGGACUUCGGGUCCAUUUUGACUGGGGACUAGUGGUAGGCGGCGGAGUAACGCGUGGGCAGGGGACCUCUUACAAAGGGAUAGCCUCGGGAAACCGUGAUAUAUACCAUGUGUCACACUCAUAAGGCUUCUCAAGUUUGUUAAAGAUACGCCGACAAGGGAUAGGCUCGCGUGCUAUUAGCUAGUUGGUAGGGUAACGGCCCACCAAGGCGACGAUGCAUAGCCGGCCUGAGAGGAUGAACAGUCACAUUGGAACUGAGACACGGCCCAGACUCCUACGGGAGGCAGCAGUGGGGAAUAUUGCACAAUGGACGAAAGUCUGAUCCAGCAACGCCGCGUGAGUGAUGAAGGCCUUCGUGUCGUAAAGCUCUGUUAUAUGGGAAGAUAAUGACAGUACCGGGAGAAUAAGCCCCGGCUAAAUACGUG
rnacentral:rRNA from 1 species